CUCCCUACGGGAGGCAGCAGUGGGGAAUAUUGCGCAAUGGGGGCAACCCUGACGCAGCAACGCCGCGUGCGGGACGAAGGCCUUCGGGUUGUACACCGCUUUCAGCCGGGAAGAACCAUGACGGUACCUGCAGAAGAGGCCCCGGCUAACUACGUGCCAGCAGCCGCGGUAAUACGUAGGGGGCGAGCGUUAUCCGGAUUCAUUGGGCGUAAAGCGCGCGUAGGCGGCCCGCUACGCGGGACCUCUAACCUGGGGGCUCAACCUCCAGCCGGGUCCCGACCUGGCG
rnacentral:rRNA from 1 species